rnacentral:rRNA from 1 species
CCUGAGAAACCCAAAAGAUGAAAUGGGGAGAUUCAUCGUCAGCGGCGUUGGCUUCCGUGCGGUACGCGAUGGCGGGGACCUCGGUCUCGCGUCACGCUGCCGCUGCGGCAUGUCCGGAGUCGUCGGCGUGCACUUCUCCCCUAGUAGGACGUCGCGACCCGUUGGGUGUCGGAUCGAUGGCCGGUCGGUCGUCUGUUGCGCUCGCGCUUCAGACCGAUUCGGUCGAAAGUCCGGCUGCCCGGCGGUAUUGAACGAUAUGAACUGGUAUCGGGCCGCACUCGAAUGCGUUCAGGCUCGUCGGCAGGCUCGUCUCGCUCGGAUUUACGGACCUAGCGCCGUUGCCGGGCGCUUGGCGUGGCUGUUAGUCGACGAUGUCCUCGGACUGGCUCUUACCUUCGGCACGCUACUUGCUUUGGGUACUUUC